ACGGUUCCAUUCGGGCUCGAGCCGCGCUAUCCCCUCCCCUCCCGGCUUUCAGCCGGCUGAGCGCCCCCUCCCCCGCCAGCGAGGCUACAAGCACGCAGGAGCCUGGGGCUGGGCUAAGAACUAGCUCAGGAGAUGGCCUCGAGUCACCCAAUCCCUGCCUUGCCCACGGAGCUCGGGCUCUGGCCCCAGCCGUGGGGAGGGGGACGCAGCGUACCCAGGCCCGGGCGGCUGGGACCCAGACCCAAGAAGAGAGAGUCCUGCGGCGGGCUGGCGUGGUCUGUGUGUGGAGAUGCCCCCGCGCGCCGCACAAAAUCCCUGCUGCUCAGAGGCUGCUUCUGCUUUAGAAACGACCUAGGGCUUUGGCUGGGGGCCCUGAAAUCGUCAGUGUUUCCUCACGUGUUACCUUAUCACAGGCUCUUGAAAUCGAGCCCGGGCUGGGCCUGGCCUGGCCAAGAGGGGCUUAACUUCGCUCCUGGGGUCUGGUGACACAGCAGCUGGGAUGAUGCUUCCCACCACAUCAGAUGCAUGCUAGCUCCCCAUAAGUGUGGAAAUUGAUUCAACAUAAAGAACGCACCCAUCUCCAUGCUGUAAAGUAGUACAAUUGAGAGCCAUGGAUUUCAGAGGCUGGCAUAUACAACAGGUACAGAAUGGACAAAUUUAUACCAGGGAUUGCAAACACAAGACAUGCUAAAGAAGACUUCCUCACCAUAUCCAGCCUUUUCUAUCCUUUCCUGAGUGCUGUCAAUAGGCGGCAGGUGAUAAUAAAUCAUGCACAGGUGAUUCCUGUGCUAAAAAAUUUGCCUGCAACAAAAGUAUCUGCUACCAUCUCUUCAUCUUAAACAGACUAACUCCAACAUUUAUAUGAAAGAAAAAGCAUAUUAAAAAGCAAAGGAAAUGUGAGUGUCAUAGUGGUGAAGAUGAAAUUGGUACUUAUCUUAGAAGAACUCUGAAGUAUGAGGAACUGAUCUUGCAGUUUUUACUCAUGGAAACCAUCCCUGCUCACCCUAUCCAUCCCAUUGACCUUUAUGGGGCUGCUUGCAUGAGUGCAAAAGGGUUGCAACAUACAACUCAAUUGGACUGAAGCACUUGCAGAAUCCAAGCAGCAGUAUAAACUGUAGCCAUUUUGUGAAUAUUUCGGCACGUGCCUGAAAGUCCCAUGUGGCUGAAAGAAAGUCUCAAAAUACUCAGCAACUAUUUUACAAAUGGGUAAAUUCAGCAAGUAAAGUUGGUGAGAGAGACAAGCUUUCGAGCUUACAAAGAGCUUUUCUUGGGGUCUCAAUAAAAUAUAUUACCUUGCCCACCUUGCCUCUCUAAUACCUUGGGACCAGCAUGACUACUACAACCCUGCAUACAUACUUGUUUGAAAACCCACUGAACGAGUGGCAGAGACAGAUAUUGAGCCUAGAGUCUUGAUUUCUUGUCCCCUGCUGUAACAACUAGUCACUUUAUGUCAGCACAGUCCUAAAGAGUAUAAAUUCUGGAGCUCCAGAAAACAACCUUUUUGCCCUGCAAGCAAGCUCAGGAGAACAACACCCUUUCAAGAGUGCUUUAACUCGCAUGCUUAUUGCCAUCCACUAAAACCAUCUGAAACAUUCAUGUUUCCUUCCAGUCAUCAGUGAACUUUGAAAAGAUGAUGAGAAGCAGGAGAGAACCUAGAAACAAAACAUUAAAAACUGUGCCAUUGACCCAGGAGGAAAUUCAAACUUGUGGAAGCUGGAGAGGCAUCAAAAAAGCAAAAGUAUUGCUCUUCCACUGAGGAUAGUGAUGUGCAAGUCACGAACUAUAGUCAGUUUUAAAAUUUUCCUUUGAAAACUGAUGAAAUAUUCAACAUUCUUGCUUAUUUUCAGAAGGUGUUCUUUACCUCUUAUCACCAACACCAUUACUGUCUUGAUUUCUGCACAAAUUUUCCUUUGCUUUGAUAUAUUAUUGCUCCUGAUAUUUUGCACAACUACAUUGCUCAGAAUAUCCAAGAUAAAAAAAAUACAGUGUCCCAAGAAUAAUUUAUACUUGUUGACACAUGGUAAAUCUUAGAAAAUUAGCACUCCAUGUAGUCUUGCCAGUGGCAGUUGUGCAACACUAUUCAGAGUAUUCUUCUUGCACUUUGUUGUAAGAACAGGAAUAAUAUCCAAAAUAUUCCAAAGUAAAUAAUACUCACUGAGUACAUUCUGCUGUUUUGCCUUUGCUCUGAUAGUCCAUAAUACACUGUAUUAAGUGGUGAUUUUCAUCUAGCAUCUGGAUAAAAAAAAAUGAUCAAAAUACUUGUUACUAUGCAAUAAGACUAAAAACACACCAAGUUCUGCUAUAUGUUUCUUCCUUCUGUGAUAUUCCACUCUCACUCGUUCUUAGCUUGAUGGUUCUUUGUGCAUGUUUGUUGCCUCCAGGUAUUUAUGAAGUUCCUAGACUGGAACAGGAAUAUUAAUAUGGAAUCAAAACUUCCAACUACUCCCCAAAGUCAAAUUUAUUUCUUGAACAUUACUAUAAAAUAAACUCCUGAGAGGGGGGUCCAUUUUGUGUUAAUCUUAGUCUGUAACUAUUAUAUCUUAUGCCUGAACAGGAAUAACAGAACAGAAAAAUAUGACCAAAAAGAUACAAAACUUCCUUAUUAAAAUACUCAGUGCAUUGCUCUGGUUUCAGAGUACAAUUUUUAUGAAAGGUUUACUAAACACAACCCACCAAAUUUUACAAUUUGAGUUCAUUUUAAAUGGAGGAAAAAUCAGAAAUGAAAGAUGAUACAUCUUAUACUACUUAAAACAUGUUUCCAUAAAAUUACAGCUCACAAAAGUUGUACUGUAGGCUUACAUCUCAUUGGUAGUUAAUACUGUAAAGAAUAAAUAUGUCAAUACUAUUUCUGUAUUUUAGGGAGUGAUUAUUAUUACUUAACAUUAAUAUUGUGGUGGAACUAAGGGCUCAAACAGGUGAGGUCCCUAUUGUGCUAGGUACUGUACAAAGAUAUAGUAAACAGUCCCUGCCCCAAAAGCUUACAGUAUAAAAUAUGUUGGAUGUUUGAUUUAAAAAUACACACAUGAAUAUAAAUAAAUUUCAACAUUAACCUUUUUAUGCCAUGUCCCUUUUGCAUUCCAGGACAAUGGCCUUAUGAAUGCAUUUCUGUUGUCUCCUAAAGAUGAGCAGAACAUAGCUUGUACAUCCAUGUGAGCCCACUAAGACAUAUUGCUACAGUUUGCCAGAAAGAUUCUUGAACAGUAGCAAUCCCUGAGGCUACUUUGGAUCCUUCUAUAAGAUAUGGAAAAAGGCAGAUAUGUAGAUACAAUGGGAGGAGUCUGGACUCUAUGGGUAAAGGGAGCAUUGAACCCCCCCAGCAUGUACUGUAUUUAGUGCAAAUCACCAGCUCCAUAUCUGAGCUCCAGAAUCCUAUAUGGGAGUGUCACAAGUGCAUAUUUAAAUUUUACAUUUUUUGUUGAAUUUGGGAAGUUUCCUUUCUUGCAUUUAGUAACAAUUACAAAAUGCAAGAAAUGAAACCUGACAGAUAUGACAGUUAUAAAACCUAAACCUCCUUGUAUUUGCAUAUAAAUCUAUGUUUCAUAGAUGAUGGGGACAGGCUAACAAGUCUGCAGGCACAGAAAACUCCCAAGGUGUUUGCCGUGUGCCUCACUGUUCUUUAAGCCACAAAGGAUCACCAAAUAGAUACUUCACAAAGGGCUGUGUAAUUGGGCCAUGGGGCACCCUGUGGCUUUUAAACCAAGUAGACCCAUUGACUGAUCCCCAUCUGAUCCUUAUAGCCUGCAGCUGCAAACUGUGCAAUCUGUCACAAUUAGCUCAGGAGGCCCCAGUUUAAUAAAUUAGGGGAGAUCCUUUUAUCUGAAUAUGCAAUUCCCUUGAUCUGGGAUAUGAAACAUAUAUACAUGAAAACAUUCACUUCAGAGCCCUUUCAAAAGUAACCACCUAAGAGCAGCUACUCCUGGUCUAGAAGAAACAUAACUGCUAGAUUCCCAAAAAACUGCACAUCAGCCAGGGUACAAGUCUAGGCAGCUUUCAGAGUAUCUCUGUAUGGUCUCACACCUCAUUCCAACCCAUCUCCAAAAUGCCUUUGCAUGUUCCAUAGGCCAUGGAGCAGGCCUGCUGCAAUGCAGUGCAGCACGUGAAGUAACUUCUUCUACAAUGAGCAACCUAUUUGUACACAAGUGGUCUGCAAGAUACAAUACUUAUGGAAUAGCCAUGAGAACCUUUGUUUAAUAUUGGGACCAAGAGUUAUAUGAGCUCCCUUUGCCAUGCAUCUCAAAUUCAUUGGUUCAUAUGCAUGCUUUUUUAAUAGCCUUAUAACAUAUGUCGGAGUUGAGCUAUGUAUUUUCUCCAAGUAUUUCUCCUUCAGGAACACAAUUCACACAAUGUUUCCCAAAUUGAUCCUUCUACAACAACAUCAGGAAAACUGUGUAAUUCCCCUACCAGUUAUGUACAAUUUUUAAAGGAUCUAUUCUGAAAUAUGGAUCUUUCCUUUUCCAUUUAUUGGAAACAUGAGUCCUGCCCAUCAUCACGGCAAAGAGUGGGUUAAUAACCAUUUUAAUCAAAUAAAUUCAUCUCCUUUAUUUCAAAAUUCUGAACCUGAGUAAAAAAGCUUUGAUAGGGCCAAUAAUACAGCCUUUAUAGCUCUCCACUGUGGAGGCUGUUAAAAAAUCUUACAUGCUAGUAAAGUAGUUAUAAGUCUGACAAUAGUUGUUGUAAAUGGGCAACAAGUCAUCAGAUGGUUCUGUUCUAAUUAAAAGUUAUGUGCUGGAUUUUAGAGGAGUUUGGCCAUAAUACAGCUACAUCCAUAUCUUUCUUGAGCCAUUUGCUGUGCAUUUUUAUAGUACAUUUAUAGGCAGAUAUAUUUUUAGAGGAUUUAGCUAAAGUAUACAACACUACAGAAUCAAUGGGUUUACUUUGUAGUCCUUAACACCAGAUAGAUUGUUGCCAGGCAGAGCCAGUUUCUCCACUAAAUAUCUGCAUCUGAUUCUAAAAUACCUUUAAAAAAUAUCCAUGGAACCGUAUCAUUGUCAGACAGUAAACUUUUACAGAGAUUAAGUUCACAUAAAAUAAUUUCAGACUAUCCAGCUCUGCAGUACAGCAAAUUAAGAAGCUAGCAUGUGACGCAUACUGCACUUGAAGAAGCACAAUUUGAAAUCUGCAACACUGACUAGAUGGAAACUGCAUUCACAGGAGAAUUACAUCACUCAAUGUGUUUUUGCUCUUUGAAGUAGUUCUGUUCUGAGAUAGAGAAAAAUUUUGAGUAACCAUGCACCAAUGAGAUGAUGCAUGGCAGUAGAAUAGAUCAAAAGCUCCAGUUGACUAGUCUAUGCCUUAAGCAAGUUCUAGAGUGGUUAAUUUGUUUCCAAAAAAUGAGUGUUCCUGGGCAAAACGCAAGAGAGAGCAUUUCAUCAUACAACCUACACUGCCUAAAAUUCACAUUUUGCUUAUUGUAAAAUGGUUUCAAAGACAGAAUUAUUUUGGUCUCCACCAAU